GGCUGCAGUCGAGGAUCUUCCGCAAUGGACGAAAGUCUGACGGAGCGACGCCGCGUGUAGGACGAAGGCCCUUGGGUUGUAAACUACUGUCACGAGUUAUGAAUGGGUCCAGGUGAAUAGCCUGGGCAUUGACGUAAGCUCGAGAGGAAGCACCGGCUAACUCUGUGCCAGCAGCCGCGGUAAUACAGAGGGUGCUAACGUUGUUCGGAAUUAUUGGGCGUAAAGAGCACGUAGGCGGCCUUGCAAGUCAGUUGUGAAAGCCUUCCGCUUAACGGAAGAACGGCAUCUGAUACUACAGGGCUUGAGUACGGGAGGGGAGAGUGGAACUUCUGGUGGAGCGGUGAAAUGCGUAGAUAUCAGAAGGAACGCCGGCGGCGAAAGCGACUCUCUGGUCCGAAACUGACGCUGAGUGUGCGAAAGCUAGGGGAGCAAACGGGAUUAGAUACCCCGGUAGUCCUAGCCGUAAACGAUGGGCACUAAGUAGAGGGGUUUUGAUUAUUUCUCUGCCGGAGCUAACGCAUUAAGUGCCCCGCCUGGGGAGUACGGCCGCAAGGCUAAAACUCAAAAGAAUUGACGGGGGCUCACACA
rnacentral:rRNA from 1 species